CGCACAUUGCGCCCCCUGGUAUUCCGGGGGGCACGCCUGCUCGAGUGUCAUUGCAGCCCUCAAGCUCCAGCUUGGUAUUGGGUUUUGCGUCCGCAUGGACGAACCCGAAAAAUAUUGGCGGUCCUGUGGGGCUCUCAAGCGUAGUAAAAACUAAUCACCCGCUUGGAAGAGCUUUGCACUGGUCUUGCCGUGUGACUUCCCUUGAUUAUUCAGAAAAUUGACCUCGGAUCAGGUGCGGAUACCCGCUGAACUUAA
rnacentral:misc_RNA from 1 species